GCCCAUGACUGUACCACCCUGAACAUGCCGGAUCUUGUGUGAUGUUGGAAGCUAAGCAGGGUCGGGCCUGGUUAGUACUUGGAUGAAAGACUUCCUGGGAAUAUUGGGGGCUAUAGCUC
ensembl:rRNA 5S_rRNA 5S ribosomal RNA